GACGGGGACAAGUACGAUAUCCUCACCUGGGACGUGCAGCCCGGAGACUGUAUCGUGUCCCACAUGAAGACCCUACACGGCGCGCCCGCCAACCCGUCCCUGGCUCUGCGCAGGCGCGUGGUCUCCACACGGUGGGUGGGGGAUGACGCCGUGCUGGCCGAGAGGCCGUGGGAAGUCUCUCCGCCAAUCACAGGGGGCCUUACAUACGGCAACAAGAUGGCGUGCGACACUUUCCCGCUCAUCUGGAAGAGAGACUGAGAUUGGCUGUAUAAUCUCCAAGCAGAUGUUUAGAGUGGAGAUUGUAAUUUUCUGUUGUAACAAUCAAUGAUAGGCGUGAUGACAACACACUCAAGCUCACAGCUCAUGUUCGUUUCGUCAUAAAAACAAAAGGCACUGCAAAGUAGUAAUACAGACGAGCAAGGCACUUAAGCACUUAAAUAACAAGUAAUGUAAGGUAAACCACGUAAUUACAAAAUCAUUUGAAAACUUAAUUUUUAUGCAGGUAAAUUGUAUGCAGUUCCCGUAUUUUAUUGAUUGUUUAAUUGCCCAUAACAAGUAGUUAUAAUAAGUAUUUUCUUUUUUUCUAUUCUAUGGCAAUGGUGGUGAAGAAGGUGCUUCUAUGUUUGAAACAUUUUACCGUCAGUUUUUAUACCUUAUAUCUCACAUUUGUAACUAAUUAUAAACUGUCAACCAGGAAAAUUUGCCAGCAAAUACUCAAUGUUUAGCUUCACAUGGUCUAAUUUUCUGUUAAUUCUUACUCCGACACCUUCAUUGUGUAUGAUGACCGUCUCUCUCCCAGCUGUCAGUUGCUACAUUAGACAGUUUCAAAUUACAAAUAUAGCACCCUCCUCUCCCUCCCCAUUACAAUACUCCGCUUGUUAUUAUUUUCCACGCCUCGCAUGCGCAGUAGAUUUCCACAUCACAGGCAGCAUAAUCUUCAAUUAGUUGAUGGCGGCUGCCUCCAUCGAAAGAAGAAGAAGAUGCAAAACAACUGCUACUGUAGUAUCAAGGUCAACCACCAGGAGACCCUAAAUCGACAUUCGUCGUCAGGAUCACCCCACCUACAAAAAUUACAAAAAUCUUUGCGGUUCUUGAGAUAUAUCCCCGUACACCAUCCGGACUAAAAACAGUACCUCCAUUUUCAUGACGGCAAUAAUAAUGAUAAAAUAUCUUAUUUUUACAUGAGGCCACAGUUUCUUCUUUGACUACAGGUUUUGCUUUUAGGUCGAUAUAAACGGAAGCAGGCAGCCAUGGGUUUAGUGGCACACGCCUGCAUCUAUGUUUUUAUGUUGUCACCAGUUAUUGAGCAGCCAGCUAACAUUUGUGAGUCAAAUUGAAUGCAGAUAUCUCCCUCCCCGUCUAGUAUAAGUCAUAGAGUAAACUGUUAUACGAAGAAGUGACGACAGACAUGGUACCGCUUCAGUAAAAUAUUAAGGUUUUAGAUUACAGUCAUG